AUGAGUAAUUACAGACGGCGGUCCGACCAUUUCUUCGGCGAACAUCUCGUCGGAAAGUAUCAAACCGCAACUAAAAUUUCGGAUUCUGGUACCGUUCAAAUCGUCUUGGUGAGUAGAUCACAAAAAUGGCCUUCAAAUCCAUUCAUUCAAACAAAGUCAUCACGUAAAUCGCGCAUACAUUCUAGAUCUGAAAAGUAA